UAGGGAAUCUUCCGCAAUGGGCGAAAGCCUGACGGAGCAACGCCGCGUGAGUGAUGAAGGUCUUCGGAUCGUAAAACUCUGUUAUUAGGGAAGAACAAAUGUGUAAGUAACUAUGCACGUCUUGACGGUACCUAAUCAGAAAGCCACGGCUAACUACGUGCCAGCAGCCGCGGUAAUACGUAGGUGGCAAGCGUUAUCCGGAAUUAUUGGGCGUAAAGCGCGCGUAGGCGGUUUUUUAAGUCUGAUGUGAAAGCCCACGGCUCAACCGUGGAGGGUCAUUGGAAACUGGAAAACUUGAGUGCAGAAGAGGAAAGUGGAAUUCCAUGUGUAGCGGUUAAAUGCGCAGAGAUAUGGAGGAACACCAGUGGCGAAGGCGACUUUCUGGUCUGUAACUGACGCUGAUGUGCGAAAGCGUGGGAAUCAAACAGG
rnacentral:rRNA from 1 species